GCCUAGCCGUAACACACAAUCAAAUUACCAAUUGUUCGCCAAACAACUACGAGUAACACUUAAAACUUAAAAGACUUGACGGUACUUCACCCCGACCUAGAGGAGCCUGUCUAAUAACCGACAACCCACGAUUAACCCAACCACUUCUUGCCCAACAGUCUAUAUACCGCCGUCGCCAGCUUACCUUGUAAAAGAAAUAAAGUGAGCUAAACAGUAACACACUAAAACGACAGGUCGAGGUGUAACUUAUGAAGGGGGCCAAGAUGGGCUACAUUCUCCAACAGAGAAUACGAACAACACUAUGAAAUUAAUGUUUGAAGGCGGAUUUAGCAGUAAGAUAAGAACAAAACACUUAACUGAACACAACGCAAUGAAGUGCGCACACACCGCCCGUCAUCCCUGCCACCACAAUAUUAAAUCUCAAUAAAUCAACUUAAAAAGCAACCAGGGCAAGUCGUAACAUGGUAGGUGUACUGGAAAGUGUACCUAGAAA
rnacentral:rRNA from 1 species